GAUUAAGCCAUGCAUGUGUAAGUAUAAAUAGUUAACUUUGAAACUGCGAAUGGCUCAUUAUAUCAGUUAUAGUUUAUUUGAUGAAGAAUACUAAUUGGAUAACCGUAGUAAUUCUAGAGCUAAUACAUGUAUAAAGUCUUGUAGACUGCAUUUAUUAGAAUGAAAACCAUAGGUUUCGGCCUAUUCGUGAGUAAUAAUAACUAAUCAUAUCGUAUGCUUACGUAACGAUGUGUCUUUCAAGUUUCUGCCCUAUCAGCUUUCGAUGGUAGUGUAUUGGACUACCAUGGCAGUAACGGGUAACGAAGA
rnacentral:rRNA from 1 species